rnacentral:rRNA from 1 species
GCACGCUACAAUAAGGCGGAUAAGGUGCCAGAGGAGUAUGACCUGUAUGCCAUGGCCCACACUGGCCCUUACAAGAAAGUCAAGGCAUUCUCUGCGUCUGACCUCGAUGAUCCAAAGAACUUCACCAACAUCUCCGCCCAUGACAAGCUCGUGCAAUAUAGAGAUCAGGGGAAGGCGAGGAAAGGGGAGGACUUUAACCCGAGCCAGGGUCCCAUUGAUACAGAGCUGCUGAUGAUAUCCAUUGUCCUAGCACUCUCCGGGAGAUCAAGGCGCGCCAGUCGAGCUCCGCUCCUGAGAUAA